AAUGGGACUGGCCUAAGCGGCCAUCGUAAUUAAAACCCAAAACCUCGUCUAUUCGUCUUCUUCAUCCUUAAACCCUAAACCUCUGCAACAUUUUCCAAAUCUGCCAUUAACAUCAAACCCUAAACCUCUGCAAAAUGCUGCUCUUUGACCUAAAUAUUCCAUAUUGUGAAUCCGAUAAAUCAGUCUCAGACAAAUCGUCAAAAAAACAGACUCGGUUGAAGCUAAUUGUUAAAGCAAUUGAGUUUGGUUACACUGGAAUCGCUUACAAUCGUACUAUCAAAGGGGUAAUGUCUGAAUCUGAUCGUUGCACCAUUUCUCCAUUUUCCCUCUCUUCUCUCCUCAAACUAUCUCCUUCUCUCUCCUCAACUGUUUGCUUCCAUCGUCGCCUCCUCGGAGUUCCUGAAAACUCUGCGUUUCGGCAGUACACUCGUUUGACUAUGUUGGUUGAAACAUCCGCUCAAGCUUCGGCGUUGAAUUCGGGUAAUCCGAUUCUUAAGACUUAUGAUUUGAUCGCUGUUAGACCUUUGAAUCAGAAUUCUUUUGAUCUUGCUUGUCAAUCGUCUCAGGUUGAUUUGAUUUCAAUUGACUUUGCUGACAAGUUGCCAUUUCGACUGAAGCUUCCAAUGGUUAAAGCUGCCAUUGCGCGAGGGGUGUACUUUGAGAUUAUGUACUCGAGUCUUAUGCAAGAUGUUCACGUGAGGAGACAAAUGAUUUCCAAUGCCAAGUUAUUGGUGGAGUGGACUCAAGGGAAGAACCUGAUUGUAUCCAGUGCUGCACCUUCUGUUCUCGAGCUUAGAGGUCUAAAUGAUGUAGCUAAUCUAUUAUUGUUGCUUGGGCUUUCAAAUGAGCGUGCAAAAGCGACUAUAUCUAAGAAUUGCAGAUUGCUAAUUGCCAACACACUAAGGAAAAAACAGUUUUACAAGGAGGCAAUCAGAGUUGAAGUGAUGCCACUUGGAGUGGAAACUGAUCCCGGAGAACCUUGGAUAGUUGAUCAUAUUGACUGGGAUCCAUUAUCUAGUGGUGAAGGUGAUUUGCUUUUAGAUGAUAUGGCAAAAGCAUUUGCCGAGUCUGCAAAAGUCUCUCAAACCAUGAAAGGCGUUGUUUCUUCUCCUAUAGUUAAUCAUAUGCAAUCACAUGGUUUACAUGUAAAUAACAUAGGCUAUACAACUCCCAAGGAUCUCGAGGUGUCAAAAAAGACAGAUAAGCCGGAGAAUGAGCCUACUUCUUUGUGGAGCAGUCUAUUGGAUCAACAGGGGAAUAAUUUCGAAGAUUCUCUGCAGGCAGUCCUUCCCGAUUCUUCUGUUGCUUGCUCUAAUGUUGAGGAUUUCCGAAAUUAUUCUACAAAACCUCUGCUGGAGGCUAAGAACUCCUAUGUACUGGAGACCACAACCUCUAUAGCAUCGCAUGUAUUAGAGCCGCCAGAUCAUGUUAAUAAUGCUGAUAUUGUGCAGUUAAGUGAUAGUAUGAAGGAAAUAAUCUCUAAAGAUUAUGGCUUGGAUGUAGGCUGUAUUGCUAUUUCAAGAAAGGAAGUCUUAAUGGAAUCUGAGGGUCUUAAUUGUAACGGUCAGCAAACUGAUAAAUUGAAGCUAGCUUCUGUUCUUGUGAACAGGAUAGACGCUGGGAUCCCAACUGAGAUGCAAUUAUGUGAUCAGUCAGAUUCAUCCCUGGGUGGAAAUCUGCUGGAGCUAAAAGAGGAUACAGUAGCCGAAAAAAAUGCUAGAAAUGUGAUGGUUUUGGACUCCUUUUCCGAGGGGAGUAGUAGUGAUGGUUUACCAAUACUUCGUGACCGGCAAUUGCUGGAAGAGGUGGAAGAAAUUAUAGAGCAGAAGGGAAAUCGCAUUGAAGUCAACACUGGCUCCGAUAAUUUUAUAGUUGAGGAUACCAUGAUGUUAUUGGAUUCACUCCAGCAGGGAAAAAAAGGCAAUGAUCAUUUAGUUGCAAAAAGUACGCUAUCAGAUGAAAUGAUGGAAUGUAGAAAACAAGUAAAAGAGCUUAGUGAAGCUGAGCAUCAACCACUUGGUGAAAAUAAAUCAGGCAAUCAUAAGGUGAAGCGAUGGGGUACAGGCCAAGUUCUUAGGUUUCCUUUUAAACGAUUGUUACAAGUUCAAUUUAAGAAGAAAAGGAAAACUUCCAUGUACAAGAUCCAAAAGAGAUAAAUUUAUGACUUCAUGGUUGCAUAAGUAAAAUUUUCACCUCUUCCGCCAAGCAAGACUUCAGAAAUCCUUCCCGGUCAUUCAGAGGUCCAUAUAGGCAUAAAGCCAUGAGCCAUGCAAUAGUAAUAGCGCCUUCAUGCAUGUACACCUAUAUCAAUCUUAUAAAAGCGGGCUAAAGGGGUGGAGGAAAAACAAACGAAAAGGUUUGAGAAAAUCUUAAGAAAGAGAAUAAAUAAAAUAUGCUUCAGUGAGAAAAGUUUGCAAAACUGAAUGAAAGAAAAUGAAGUCAAAAGGAAAAAAUAUAUGAAGUUAUGUCACAUCAUCCAUAGAUUUCUCUCCCUCCACUCCUCCCUAUCCAACGCCAUAUUUUCUUCAAUUCGCAAUAGACCCAAAUCACUCUCAAAUCAUCCCUAAUCCAGGUUUUCGGAGGUCUUCCCCUACCCCUCACAAUCCCAUCACUUUGCCACUAUUCAAGCCUCCUAACCGGUGCAUCACUCUCAAUCACUUCUCAUUCAAAUUGACAUUUACACGAGAAUAAUGGUCUGUUCAACACCCGGUAUAAGUUUGAAAAGAAACUGAAUGUGACUAAAGAGCAAGAAAUCAUCUCAAUGUGGGACAACUUCUUGUUAACACUGUUGGAUAGGGAAGUUAUUUCACUUAAAUUCAGACUUUGAAGGCCUUCCCAACUACUUUAGUAAGCCGGGUGAGCACUUUGAAGUUCGAACAGUCAAAAUGAUUGUCUUGCUGUCUAGCUGAAAAUAGUGUUAUGUAACAGAUUUCCCAGUAGUUUCAGAACACCAAUCAUAGUAUGACGAUUUGCUGAAUGGGAAUAAAAACAGGGAUUCCACAUCCAAUUCUGGCUACCGGAAUAGAGAAACCUCACAAUGUUACUUCCGCGCAACAGCUGAUAGUUAAACAAGCUGAAAGGAAGCUGCUAGUGGGUAAAUCUUUGUCAAAAGGGGUUAUGUAGGUUGCAGCUCCAUGUCUAUCUAGGAAGUAAGCACUAUGUCGGACUGUAGCGAACUGCCUUUGCCAUACCUUCAAUAAUAAUGCUCGUACUUUCAUUUGCCAAUGGACUUCCUACCGGAUGCUGAUGGUGGUGGCGUAAUGUUCUGAUUCCCUGUCACGAGAUUGAUCAGCCAUGUAAGCUGGAAGGAAUUAAUUUUGUGUCAUGAAGUCCAGUGGGGGGUGAAAUGGGCAGAUGAAACCCGUUUCUAUGAAGGGAGUGGCUACUGAGGCUGCGCUGCAUAAAAUUAGUGGAAGUAGUAGUAUUUGGUGGGUGACUACUAGUACAGCUUAGAGGUGAACUUGGUGAGGCUAUGUAGCUACUACUAGUGCACGCACUCCCGGUACUUGUAUUCCCAUUGGCAUUUGCUAGGAUGAACGCUUCGUUAAUUGAGUUGAAAUCGCCUGCAAGAGACUGGACUAAUAGAGGUGAUAAACUGGAAGGAUAAUUUGGGUUGAUAAAAUCAGUGGAAUCUUCAUAAUAAGAGUUGUUAUUUUGAGUAUACAUAGUUACUUGGUCAGUGUAGUAUUUUUGAGAAAAUCUUCAAAAUUCAAUUGAAUUAUGACUCAAUAUACUUUCUU